rnacentral:rRNA from 1 species
UACGUAGGGGGCAAGCGUUGUCCGGAAUUAUUGGGCGUAAAGAGCGUGUAGGCGGCCAGAUAAGUCCGCUGUGAAAUCUCGAGGCUCAACUUCGAGCUGUCGGUGGAAACUAUCUGGCUAGAGUCCGGAAGAGGAGAAUGGAAUUCCUGGUGUAGCGGUGAAAUGCGCAGAUAUCAGGAAGAACACCCGUGGCGAAGGCAGGUCUCUGGGCCAUAACUGACGCUGAGAAGCGAAAGCAUGGGGAGCGAACAGG